UGGGGAAUAUUGGACAAUGGGCGAAAGCCUGAUCCAGCCAUGCCGCGUGUGUGAAGAAGGUCUUCGGAUUGUAAAGCACUUUAAGUUGGGAGGAAGGGCAGUUACCUAAUACGUGAUUGUUUUGACGUUACCGACAGAAUAAGCACC
rnacentral:rRNA from 1 species